GGUGAGUAACGCGUAGGAACCUACCUAGUAGUUUGGGAUAGCCCAGAGAAAUUUGGAUUAAUACCGGAUACGCCCUACGGGGGAAAGUGGAGGAUCUUCGGACUUCACGCUAUUAGAUGGGCCUGCGUAAGAUUAGCUAGUUGGUGAGGUAAUGGCUCACCAAGGCAACGAUCUUUAGCUGGUCUGAGAGGAUGAUCAGCCACACUGGGACUGAGACACGGCCCAGACUCCUACGGGAGGCAGCAGUGGGGAAUAUUGGACAAUGGGCGGAAGCCUGAUCCAGCAAUACCGCGUGUGUGAAGAAGGCCUGAGGGUUGUAAAGCACUUUCAAUAGCGACGAAAUGCCUUAGCUUAAUACGCUAGGGUCUUGACUUAAACUAUAGAAGAAGCACCGGCUAACUCUGUGCCAGCAGCCGCGGUAAUACAGAGGGUGCAAGCGUUAAUCGGAAUUACUGGGCGUAAAGCGCACGUAGGUGUGUAGACAAGCCGGAUGUGAAAGCCCCGGGCUCAACCUGGGAACUGCAUUCGAUACUGGCAAGCUAGAGUAUAGUAGAGGCAAGUGGAAUUCCGGGUGUAGCGGUGAAAAGCGUAGAUAUCCGGAGGAACAUCAGUGGCGAAGGCGACUUGCUGGACUAAUACUGACGCUGAGGAGCGAAAGCGUGGGGAGCAAGUCGGAUUAGAUACCCCGGUAGUCCACGCCGUAAACGAUGUCAACUAGCCUUGGGAGUCUUAGUAUUCUUAGUGGCGAAGCUAACGCGAUGAGUUGACCGCCUGGGGAGUACGGUCGCAAGAUUAAAACUCAAAUGAAUUGACGGGGGCCCGCACAAGCGGUGAAGCAUGUGGUUAAAUACGAAGCAACGCGAAGAACCGUACCAGGUCUUGACAUCUAGAGAACUUACGAGAGAUCGUUUGGUGCCUUCGGGAACUCUGAGACAGGUGCUGCAUGGCUGUCGUCAGCUCGUGUCGUGAGAUGUUGGGUUAAGUCCCGUAACGAGCGCAACCCUUAUCCUUAUUUGCCAGCACUUCGGGUGGGAACUCUAAGGAGACUGCCGGUGACAAACCGGAGGAAGGUGGGGACGACGUCAAGUCAUCAUGGCCCUUACGAGCUGGGAUACUCACGUGCUACAAUGGCCGGUACAGAGGGCAGCAAUACCGCGAGGUGGAGCAAAUCUCAGAAAGCCGGUCGUAGUCCGGAUUGGAGUCUGCA
rnacentral:rRNA from 1 species